rnacentral:lncRNA from 10 species
AAAGGAGGCUGUCUGCGGAGCUAUGGUGCGGUUCUCUUCCCGCGCCGCCCACCAAGGGUCGCUCCUCAUCUUCUUAUUCACUCACUUGCUACUUCGUUUAGUCCUUCAUUAAUUCCUGCAGUAAGCAUGUAUGGGCUUCUACUGUGGACCUGGCAUUAUGCCACGCCUUCGAUGUACAUUGGAGAACCAGAGAGCCAAGGUUCCUACCUUCAUGGAGUUUAUAUUUUAGUGGGAGGAGGGUUGCCAGAUUUAGCAAAUAAAAAUACAGAAUGCUUAAUAAUUUGCAUUUCAGAUAAACGAAUAAUUUUUAGUGUAUAUAUUUCCCAUGCAAUAUUUGGAAAAAUAUCAUAAAAAAUACAUAUACUAAAGAAUGAGCCACUGUUGUGUGUCUUGCAUUCUUCCCUUUUCUGAAUGGGAGAUUUUAAUGCAAGUAUGCCACCCUUGCUCUAUCACGCUACACAGGGUAGCUGAGUGGGGGCAGGUAUGUAGUACAUAUUUACAUAGUUCAUGAGUUACCUGGCAAUGAGGAUAUACAUCUGGAUCUAAUAAAGAGGACUGUGUAUCAACAACAGAUCCUGGAUGCAGUGACUAGAUAGAAUUCCAGGUGUCUGGGGAGGGUAUAUGUGUAUUCUGUGUGUGGUAAGAAGGGGGCGGAAUAUUUGGUGACAAGAAGUAUCUUUUCUUCCUAGGCAUUAUAUUUCCCAACUCUCCUGCAGUUAGCUGGGGGCCACAUGGCUGAGUUCCGGCCAUUGGAAUGUUGCUGGAACUGAUGUAUACCACUUCCAGGAUUGGUCUAUAACACCUUCCUUGAAUCUUCCCUUCUCUGUCUUUCCUGGUCUUCUGGAAGUUCUUAGACAACGGUGGAACCACUAGAUAGAUAACAGGUUCCCGAUUCCCUGAACGAGUGUGAUAGAGUGUCCUCACCAACCCACAUUGGAAUAUGACAUGGGUAAGAAAUAAUUCUUAGUUGUGGUAAACUGCUGAGAUUUGGGAAGAUUUUUUUUUGUAACAUUAUGGUAAAUUGUUGAAUUCAUCAAAGGUAUGGCCUUUGAUGAAUCACACAUUCCUCUGUUCACACCCUUGUAUUCUUCCUUCCCACAUGGACUCUGUCUUUGGCUAUGUAACUUGCUUUGGCCAUUGGGACAUCAGCAAAUACGAGAUAAGCAGGGGCUUGAAAGGUGUUUGUGCAUUAAGGCUUAGCCUGUUUUGCUGCUGAGAAUUCUUCUUCCACAAAGUAAAGAAGCUUAGGCUAGCCCACUGACAACUAUGGCCCAAUCAUCCACCAGCACCAAGGGCAAGACGUGAAAAAGGCCAUAAUGGAAAGUCUAGUCUUAGAAAAGCUGCUGGAUGACCACAACUCUGUAAGCAACCCAAAGCAAGAUUAGCAAAACCACCUAGCUAAACAUAGUCCAAACUGUUGACCCACAGAACACAUAAACAAAUAAAAUGAAUAUUGCUGUAAGCCACUAAGUUUUAGGUUGGGUUUCUUACACAGCAGUAGAUAACUGAUACAAAGAGUUAGCUUAUUCUGACUAAUAUAUUUGUACAAUGAUAAGGCUGAUCUUGGGCAUAAGUGACUAGGCUGAAAGAACUAGCUUCACCCGUUCCAGUUUGUACCCAGUUGCCUAAGAACUGGGGUCAUCAACAUCUUGAUAUGCCUGUAAACAACUUGUGGCAUACGAGCAUGCCACAGCACAGUGGUCUGGAGACUGCUCUCUUCUCAUCUAUAAAAUUGACCUGGUAGAGUAAUAAAGUCUUAAAAUAUAACCAACAUGAUUUUAUUAUUGAUGCUAGGGAUAUUUCCUCCCACCCUUUGCCCCCUCAUCACCCCUACUUUGCCAGCCCUCCAU